CUUGUCUAACAUAAGAGGUCCAGCCUGCCCAGUGACAUUGUUCAACGGCCGCGGUAUCCUAACCGUGCGAAGGUAGCGUAAUCACUUGUUCUUUAAAUGAGGACUAGUAUGAAAGGCAUCACGAGAGUCAUACUGUCUCCUUUCUCUAAUCAGUGAAACUAAUCUCCCCGUGAAGAAGCGAGGAUAAAAAUAUAAGACGAGAAGACCCUAUGGAGCUUAAAACAAAUAACAUUUGCCUUUCUAACUUCAAAUUUCAGAAAAAUUUCUUAUCUUGGCAUUAUAAUUAUUAGUUUUUGGUUGGGGUGACCACGGAACAAAAAACAACUUCCGCAAUGAAAGACACUCCUUUACUAAGUCAAGGACUACAACCCUACACAUCAACAAAUUGACAUUAAUUGACCCAACAUGUUGAUCAAUGGAC
rnacentral:rRNA from 1 species